GGGAGAAUCAUCGAAAAACCAACAUUAUCGGUGUAUUCCACUGCAGUGGCAUUGCAGAGGUCAGGGGUUCGAUCCCCCUCGGCUCCA
rnacentral:tRNA from 1 species